GAUGAAGAACGCAGCGAAAUGCGAUAAGUAGUGUGAAUUGCAGAAUUCAGUGAAUCAUCGAAUCUUUGAACGGACAUUGCGCCCCUUGGUAUUCCAUGGGGCAUGCCUGUUCGAGCGUCAUUUGUACCUUCAAGCUCUGCUUGGUGUUGGGUGUUUGUCUCGCCUCUGCGCGUAGACUCGCCUCAAAACAAUUGGCAGCCGGCGUAUUGAUUUCGGAGCGCAGUACAUCUCGCGCUUUGCACUCAUAACGACGACGUCCAAAAGUACAUUUUUACACUCUUGACCUCGGAUCAGGUAGGGAUACCCGCUGAACUUAAGCAUAUCAAUAAGCGGAGGA
rnacentral:misc_RNA from 1 species